AUUGAACGCUAGCGGGAUGCUUUACACAUGCAAGUCGAACGAGUGGCGGACGGGUGAGUAAUAUAUCGGAACGUGCCCAGUAGCGGGGGAUAACUACUCGAAAGAGUGGCUAAUAACGCAUACUAUUGGAGCGGCAGAUAUCGGAUGAGCUAGUUGGUGGGGUAAAGGCGCACCAAGGCAACGAUCCGUAGCUGGUUUGAGAGGACGACCAGCCACACUUGGACUGAGCCACGGCCCAGCCUCCUCCGGGAGCAAGCAGUGGGGAAUUUUGGACAAUGGGGGAAACCCUUAUCCAGCCAUCCCGCUUGUAUGAGAAGGCCUUCGGGUGGUAAAGUACUUUUGGCAGAGAAGCGGUAUCUGCAGAAUAAGCACCGGCUAACUACGUGCCAGCAGCCGCGGUAAUAC
rnacentral:rRNA from 1 species